CAACUUACCAUAUCGUCACCAAAAUCACUUCAAACCUCUUCAAAUCUUAAUAUUUCAACUUAAAAUUAUUUUUUUGAUAUCCUAACAUUAAAUGUUUAUUAAAACAAAUAUCUGUGUGUAGAAAUAUCUUGUCUGUGGCACACGGCUUCGAGGAAGCUGCAAGUGACAGCACGAUUUCUCAUACCGGCCCAACGCGCCGGCCGGGCAUGCGCAGUAGCCAAUUUGUUAUUCGUGCUCUUCUUCUCUGCCACUUCUCCGGAAUAGCUCAUUAGAACUUCGAUAUAGUGAGACCGACAUAAGUUCUCGACUGGCGAGGCUGACUUCUCCUCCGCUGACGCUCGCUUGCCUUCCCCCACCACAGGGGCCCGAAGCGAGGCGACGCAUGUGCGGCCACUCUCGUUCGGGUUCGUUGUUGAUGUCGAUCGUCAGUUGUUCCAAAAAGCAAACAAGUCGGCUAGUUGGCUAGCUUUUGGUAAAUCUGUGCAUUUUGUAUGUUUUUCCAUUAUAUUUUACAAUUAUAUUUCUUUCUUUAAGGUACGUCAGGAUCGCCUUUUCAUCUUCUUUGAGAAAUGCCAAGUUCAAUCUCUAGAAGGAUACCAAUAGAACUGCCCGAAAGCUCAUUCGAGAGGCCAAAAAGCCAAGGCGGCUGAAAAGCCUUCAUCCGUGGGCCAAUCGAUUGGGUUUUCGUGGGCAACUUCCCAAUCGGCAAUUCCAGGCCAUCCUCUACAAUGCUGUCAAGUACUUUAAAAGGAAGAAGGCAAAUAGGGGCCUGUCAUCCCCGUUAAUCAAGUCCAGAAGCGUGCUGCUACAUGCCUUGGUAUGAGUGUUUUUACGGUGAGCAAAUACACAAGGAAAAUGUAUCAGCAACAGCCCGGGCAAAGAUCGAACUCGGGUACGCCCUGUCCGUACCAUAGACAGUUUCACCACGGCUGCUAUUCGAAAUUUGCUGUUGGAGCUGCACAGGAAAGUGAUCGUGGAAUUGACUUUGUUGGUGGAAGAGAGAGACUCAGAAAAGUGCUACAUGAUCUUGGGUUAUUCUUUGAAAAGAGAUAUGCAACUGCUUAUCUAAAGGAGACUCCUCGGAUUGUAGAGAUUUGAGUUAGAUUUUUAUAGACAUUUAAGCAGUUGUAUGAUGAAGGAAAGUUUGCCAGGAAGUAUUGGUUAGGAAGAAAUGUCUCUUCGAGUAUGGGUCUGGUGUCACUUAUAAUAGGGUAUUUAACCUGACGCAACCCGGAUCCAAAAAAGAACAAGAGUUUCUCCUGAACUCUUUCCUCCCUUGCUCUGAUUGGCUGACGCCUACGAAGUCCAUGAACUGCCCGCAAGGGCGGUCGACCCCUAGUGUCGGGUCCGAGAACUUCGUCGACAUCGUCCAAUGAGCGCCAAGGAGGAAAGAGUUCAGGAAGAACUCUCGUUCACCUUUAGAUCCGGUUUGCGUCAGGUGAAAUACCCUAUUAGACUAAUGGUAAGUGGGACUGCCAGAAGUCCAAAACAUUGCCAGGUGGUGCGCGCUACAUUGUAGCCCAUUGCCGUGGUGAAAAUGGCUUCAUCGAGGAUGCUUCCUUGGUGUAACAUUCCAAGCUGGUACCAAAGCCUGGGGAUGACUACCAUCGAGACAUGAACCAGGUCAUUUCUCUAAUUUCUUCUCAAAGAAAGUCCUUGCCAACACAAAGGAGCCAUCUGUAUAUUUUAGGGACAAUGCAUCAUACCACAAGUUUCAGUCAUAGCAGUUGAGCGCACGUUCCUGGGCCCAUUACUGCCAUUACUUCUGCAGGCUUUAAAUUCGCACCUGGUAGUAAACAGACUGCAAACUACUAAAGCAUCGCCUUGAAGGUUGUUCAUGAUCACGUGCACCUGGAUAUAUCCACGGGUAAGUAAAAGUUUUACAAGGGGUUUCUAAGCGUUCUCUUAACAAAUUCGUACUUUAUUUUAGCUUGUUAGGUCCUUCACCAACCAAACGCGUCUUGUUCGUAUGGAAAUUGGUGAAACAUUUAAGAUUCAGUAAGUUAAUUUGUCCCCAUGGUCUUUUCUUUGAAAAGCAUCUGCUUGAAGAAAAAUAGUGUUGCAGUCAUAAGGCUUUAUUACGCCGGACCACGUCUCGCGUAACAGGCUUCGUGAUGUUCCGCUGCGACGCGCUCGCGUCGGUCCUUGCGGGGUUCUUGAAAAAAACUUCUUUUAAUUCCGGACAUUAUUUAGAUCAUUUUCAUCAGGCAUUGCAUUGCCUAAUUUGUGCAUGUUGGAGAAAUUUGAUUAGCCAUUCUCCUAAAAGUUGGAAAAGGAGGUAUCAUACCAAAUAAGCUAGGCCCGCUCUUGCGCCAAACCAAGUUGGCAGCUCCGCUUCGCACCACCGCCAACUUGGUCCGACAGGGAGCGGGCCUAGCUCGGCCUGCCGGUGACGUUUGGGACGGGCCUUAAGCUGUCAUCGGAAAACGGGCUUUCGGACGGUUGAAGCGACUUUAGUUGAAACCACCUUUUCCCCCGGUAUAUCUUUGCUGUCUACUUAGUAUAGAAAACUUGACAUCUGAGGAGUCUCCCAGUGGGCAAUAUAGCAUUCCGGUAAAGCUGAAAUGCAGAAGAAUGCGGGCAAGAAGAAAACGUACAUCACUAUGCUUCUACAUAGUGACUCCCGUUUUCUUGUUCCCCGUAUUCUUCUGCAUUUCAGCUUUACCGGAAUGCGUUAUUGCAGUAAAAAGCGGAAGUGGUGGUCGAUAUUUCAAAUUGGUGUUAGAGACGUGCCGAAAAUUGCUCUGCGUCGUCAAAGGUCUAUAGUUUCGAAAUCCGCAAAAAACAUUGGCAAAAAUUUUCUACUUGAGUUAGUUUCCGAGCACUUAUUAUGGCUUUUCCCUUUCUAGAACAAUACGCGGGACUUGCAAGCCUUUUUUCUCUUGCGUUAAAAGAGCUCUUCCACUUACAAAUUUUCAGAGCUCACUUUUGAAAAUUGUUAGGUAGGCCUUCUACAUCACGUAAGACCACUCAUCACCGGUGCCACGGUCAUAGAGGGUUUCAAAAAGCCCUCGAGAGGCGUGUCCGUCAGUGACAAUUUUGGUGUGUUUUUUCUAUUUGUGGCAAAUCCUGCCGGGAUAUAUUUUCGACACUUCAGGUACAAAGCAAGUUUGUCACAAAGAACACAUUUAGUCUUAGUGCCCGAGAUCAAAAACCAGAUGGAACAGGGUGAAAAUCGCGUCACUGACGG